CAUGAAGGGAGAGAAAAUGUUUUUUUAUUUUUUCUAAAUAAACCCACAACUCGUUUGAGCAGACCUCGUUUUCGGUAAAAAUUUCAUAAAUUUUGUUUCAACCGGUUUUUUAACCGUCCUGGAAAAGCAAUCAUGUUUGAGGCACGUCCCCACUGUCAAGGAAAUCUUGUAUGCCAUUAAAGAUUUGCUCAAUGACGGGACUUUCGACCACAUUAACUUGGGAAUACAACUGCUGGCCAUGGACAAGUUCUGCUUCGUGUCUACCCAUCCUGUUCAUAGAUAGUAUCGACUAAUCCCACUCUAGUCGGAGGCUCGUCAUUGCCAUGCGAUUGAGGAACGUGACCAAGGUUCUAAAGUAGGCCAGUACCGGGAAAUUGCAAGAGUAACGACAACUACAAUAGUGUAGCGUUCAAGUUUUCUGAACAAAAGAAGGACUCGGCUCUUACGUCUCGAUUGAGGACUCUUGGGCAUAUCGGAGACUGACUAUUCGUGUGUUGUGCGCAUGCAGGUCAUAGAAUUCGCAUGCAUCUGACGAGAUUUGAUGCAGCUCUACGGAUCCUAUAGCUUUUCCUUAUUGGAAGGCAAACUCGCUGACUAUGAAAGUUGACGAAGAAGAAAAGGCGGUCUUCUUUUAAGCACACCAGUCAGACGCGCUUACCUAUACCAAAAGCUGCCCGAGAACCAAAAGCAAUGCGUUCGUCAUGUCCACGUCAUGUCACGUCCAGACUACUUGUAGAUGUAAAUAAGGAAUACCUUAUCAGCAACACGGUUGCUUCCAUACACACAUUCCACGUUAAACAUUUCCUUGGUCAAUAAAAACAAUUCAACGGAA